GACGAACGCUGGCGGCGUGCUUAACACAUGCAAGUCGAACGGAAAGGCCUGCAGCUUGCUGCGGGUACUCGAGUGGCGAACGGGUGAGUAACACGUGGGUGAUCUGCCUUGCACUUCGGGAUAAGCUUGGGAAACUGGGUCUAAUACCGGAUAGGACAGCUGUUUAGUGUCAGUUGUGGAAAGUUUUUUCGGUGCAAGAUGAGCUCGCGGCCUAUCAGCUUGUUGGUGGGGUAAUGGCCUACCAAGGCGUCGACGGGUAGCCGGCAUGAGAGGGUGUACGGCCACAUUGGGACUGAGAUACGGCCCAGACUCCUACGGGAGGCAGCAGUGGGGAAUAUUGCACAAUGGGCGGAAGCCUGAUGCAGCGACGCCGCGUGGGGGAUGAAGGCCUUCGGGUUGUAAACUCCUUUCGACAGGGACGAAGCUUUUGUGACGGUACCUGUAGAAGAAGCACCGGCUAACUACGUG
rnacentral:rRNA from 1 species